rnacentral:rRNA from 1 species
AACGAACGCUGGCGGCAUGCCUAACACAUGCAAGUCGAACGAAGGCUUCGGCCUUAGUGGCGCACGGGUGCGUAACGCGUGGGAAUCUGCCCUUGGGUUCGGAAUAACAGUGGGGAACCGCUGCUAAUACCGGAUGAUGACGUAAGUCCAAAGAUUUAUCGCCCAAGGAUGAGCCCGCGUAGGAUUAGCUAGUUGGUGGGGUAAUGGCCCACCAAGGCGACGAUCCUUAGCUGGUCUGAGAGGAUGAUCAGCCACACUGGGACUGAGACACGGCCCAGACUCCUACGGGAGGCAGCAGUGGGGAAUAUUGGACAAUGGGCGAAAGCCUGAUCCAGCAAUGCCGCGUGAGUGAUGAAGGCCUUAGGGUUGUAAAGCUCUUUUACCCGGGAUGAUAAUGACAGUACCGGGGGAAUAAGCUCCGGCUAACUCCGUGCCAGCAGCCGCGGUAACAC